UCUCUCCUUUUUUCUAUAAAAAGAACUUCAUACCUUGUUAUUAUUAAUCCAUUUAUUAUUUGCAAGGGGAUUUAUAUCCGAGCAUCCAGGUGGUAUUACCACUUCUCUUUCAAAGAUGGACUGGGGAAAGACAUUAAGUUUGAUCCAGCACCGCGGAGGAUCUCUCUCUCCUCUCUCUCUCCCCUCUCUCUCUCUCCCCCUCUCCCUCUCCCUCUCCUUUUUCCCUUUCCCUCGCUUAAAUCUCCUGGCGUCCAGCUAAGCAUGAACUCCAGAGGCAGACCCCACCGCAGAGGACCGAGAUUCCUUUUUGACUGCAGCAAUCUCAAAGUUGGACAUCAGGCAGACCAAGUGAAUCCUGAACUCUGGAGGUCAUUGAUGCUCUUCCAACUUCAAAAAUAAGCAGGGAUGAUAUUGGGAUAUUGACUACAAAUCAGAUGACGGCUCUCGAUCAUUUUCUUCUGGAUCACUAGUAUGAAAAGGAAUUUGUAAAACAGAAAUGUCUCCAUCUCCUUUAAAUAGUAAUAAAGAUAAAUCCAUCAAAACAAACGAGCAGCUAGUUAAAUUCUUUGUCCAUAUACACGUGCCAUUUCCCAUUUGUAAUCAAUGAGAAACUUCUGUAUACACCCCAGGGCAGAAUCUCACUCAUCAUAUAUAACACUUUAUUGUUAAUUUAGGAUGAUUAAUGAUCAAGUCAGUAGCUGUGUAAUAUUUGUGAAUUCUAUUCUACCACUGCUUAAUUUUAUAUUAUUUUAAAAUUUACAGCUGCCAUGGAAAAUGACCAGAAAUCUACAAUCUGAGAAAACCCAUCCAUCAUCUUCAGGCAGUCUUCCAAUCUGUUAACUUUAGCUGCUACUAAUAAGUGUGUCCAGGAAAAGCAAUUAUUACAAUGUUUCACAGAAUAGCUUCCAGAUAGCAUAUGAUGUAAGCUGCUCUUGGGCAACAUUUCUUCUAAGGAAGCAGCCUUAGAAGCAUUUUUUUUUUUUUUCUUCAGUAAGCAACUUCACUGAUACAGGUAUUAUAAAAACAGAAAUGGAGAUCUAGAGCCUUACAUGUUGGAAAUGGGGAUUGACCAUAGGUACUGUGCCCAUUUACACCUUCCAAAGACUUGGAUCACUAUGCUUUGUGAAGUGCUCGCUACAGGUUUGAUCAGUGUGCAGACUCUUUCAGUAAGGAAGAGUUCUUACCUGGGUCUGAGAUGUAGCCAUUAGGAUGAUAUAUCACACAGUGUCAAAUCAGGCACCCUGUUUUGACUUUGUGUUCCCCUCCAGGAAAUGAUAUUUUAUCUACUAUUUAAUGUAUAUUACCAGCAAUGGAAACCAAGCCCAAACUAGCGCAUGAAGAUCUCUAAGACCGCCUCUCUAAAAUCUCUAAGUGCAUGAAAAAUCAUGAAGAUUGCCAUUCUGAGGCCCUUAAUAAAAAUUCAGCAUCACAGCAGGCUGCUCCGAAGUAACACCUCCCCAGGUAAUACCUCCCCGGCUAAUUACCUUCCCAAAGUAAUAAUGGAGCAUUGUGACAGAGGUGGAUAUCCUGCAGUUGUAAAGAGGCCAGUGCAGGAACUCAGCUGAGCUCCAAAUACAAACACCUUCCUCACAGAGAAGGGGGCCAAUGCUAGAGUGUGUGGCUUAUCUGGGUCUACUUUCACUGAAGCCUGAUUUCUAUAAUGAGCAACCUCUGGCAAGGGAUUGAAGAGGAAAACUUGAAAAAUCCAUUGUGAUGAAAAAUAUGCAUUAGUAAAAGUUUUACAUCAGGACCUUAGAGCCAAAGCAUUCACCAAAGCAUUCAGGAUCAGUCAGAUAAUCAUACUGUGGCAUCUCAUCAAGCCUCUCUGAUUAGUUUGGGGGCUGGUUAGUAUCGCACCUCUGUAUUGGAAGUUCCUCACUGUAGUUCCUGGCUGUUCUUCACUUGUCCUUGUAGGCAGAUGUUAGCUCAUGAGUAACUUUGGAAGCAUUUCAAUAUGCCUCUGCUAGGCUCCUUGAUCUUGAUGGCUGUUGCUAGCAGAUGACAUUCAGCAUGCUUCCAGACACCCGUCUAGCUCAUUGGACUGAAUGACUUGUUUUUUCAAUUCCACUUCUGCAGCACAUUAUAGAUCGUCUUGGCAUGUUUGGAUUUUGGAUUGCAGAUUUGCUUUCUGAACCAUGAAGAAUUUGACACUAAAAGGAAAGCAUGGUCUGGACUGCUUCUGAAAACUUCUGAUUAAUGUGCUAGAUCUUUCUGCAUAAUAUGUAAUCCAAACCAAGACACCCAUCUAAUUAUUAUUUUUAUUUUAUUAUUAUUUUUUAAUCUUAGUCAUGAAUACCAUCAUUAAACUGUUUGCUAGGAGAAAUGAGAUCAAUAGGAUCAUAUAAUUUUUUUUUGGCAAUUGGUUCUUUUCAUGAAGAAACUAAGGAAAUACACAUACUGGAAAGUUAGAAAUUGUAAUUUGCCUUGCUUAAAAAAAGCUGUUCAGUGUAUCAAGAUAUUUGCUUUAAAUCAUCAAAGCAGUUUUGGCCAGCAGAUGCACAUACACACAUAUAUAUCUGUUAUUAAAAUAUGUGUAGGCAUUCAUCCUAAUAUAUAUAUAUAUAUUCCUUAUGUAUAUAUGGUUAUAAUCUGUACAUUCAUGCCUUCAUAUAAAUAUGUAAAAUUCCUUCUUAUGUAUACAUUCACAUACAUAUACAUGCGUUCCUCUUUAGUAUAUCCUCUUGCCUUUAAUUGUUAAAGAUUGAUGGAUGCCAGCAUGAUUGAUGUCUAAUAAGAGGGUAAGGUACCUUGCUGAAAGGUCAACAAGCAGUGUCUGGGAGUUCUUGGUGUCCUUAAGUGGCUGGAAAGGCUGAUCUUGCCGUAAGACUUCUGAGAUGAUCAAAUUUUGGUUAUAGAAAGGGCUAUAUUCCACAUGCAAGUCAUAGGCAGUUUGAAAUGUUCAUCAGCUUAGUUACAUGUCUUCUGUUCUCUUGGGCAGUAGCUCUACUGUAGUGAGUUGAAAGGUUAUUAAAAAUACUUAUUUUCCCUGGGAUAGGGAGAAUGAGAGCUUAGAACCACAGAAUCAGAGAAUAUCUGGAGUUGGAAGGGACCCACAAGGAUCACCAUGUCCAACACUUGGGUCUGCACAGGACCACCCAAAAAUCGGACUGUAUGUCUGAACUUCUGACUUACUAAUUUUUAUUUAUUUUUUUUCUUCAUGUGAACUUGUUUUGUGUGUUAAUAAUGUAAAGUGAUGAUGUGAAGUGUGAUGAUGAAAUUGUGAGCUGGAAACGUGCAAUGGUAGCUGUUUGAUUCCUGACAGCAUAAUGAUAUAUAUAAUGAUGAGAAAGAUGAAAAUAAAAAUGACAUUUCCUAUUUGUCAGAUGGUCUGUAGCACUUACAGAAGUCCAACAGUCAGAAAAUUUCUAAGCUAGAAAUUAUUGUAGGCCUACUAGCGGUACUUCUUAAUUUCAAGGAUUCUUUUAACUAAAUGUGUAAAGUAAGAUGUGUCUGAGUAACAAAUAUCAAGUUUAAGGUCAUGUUUUGCUAUUAGUUUUAAAACAGAAGCCAUCGUUGUUUUCCUAGAGACAGCAGUUUGCAACAAGAAUGACUCUGGUCUUUGUGGUAUUACUCUGUUAUUUUACAGCAAUGUGCUCAGUGUGGAGAGCACAUGCCAUUAAUGAAUAUAUAUAUUUUUUUAAUCCAGAUACUCAUUUUAUCGUACAAGAAAAUCUCGGUUCCUAAAUCUUUUCAGACGUAUCACUCAGUUUAUGUACACAACAGGUUUUUGACUGUUCUGUAUCUCUUCCUGAAGUGAAAAGUCAGAGAGAAAAAAAAAAAAAAAGAAGAGUUCUUAUGUCUAAGUAUUUGAAAAUUACUCUGGUCUAGAUGCUACUAAAGCAGAAGUGUAACAGCACAUGUUAAAAAAAUAAAUAAAUAAAAAUCACUAGAUGUAGAAUACAAUGUUCCAGACACACUGGAUUGUAUUCAAACUCAUAUGAGCCUGUUGUCUGAUUAAUUUACCCUCUUGAGAAGUACUAGAAAACAGGUGGCAUUUUUUCAGUUUUGUACUUUGCUACUUACUAAAGUCCCCAAACACGUUUCCUUAUAUUGUUUCUCUGUGUGUUCCUCUGGGCUUGUCAGAAGAGAUAUGUGAAUGAAAAUAAACCUGAAUUCUGUGUUGCUUAUAGGGCUUGGUUCAAAGAGGAUUGGCAGCCACAGAAGGAUCUCACCAAGGCUUCCAUGACUUCUAGUCACGUCAUUAAUGAAGACCUUUUGAACGUUUUGGUCUUCUACCUUCUACGUGAAGAGAAAUAAUGAUCCUGCCUUUGAAAAAUGACUUAAAAUUGACAGGGAUGUAGAUAUUAACCACUCUUAUACCUCCUUAGAAGCAGUAAGAAAUGAAAGAGCAUUUACAGAAAGACUGUGUUUUAUUAUAUUUACAACAAUGGAACUGGAAUAUAACCUUUUUAUUUAAAAAUCAAGCUGCAGAUUAAGUUUUGAUUGCAGUAUUUUGUACUGAAAAUAAGAAUAAUGGAAGCAAUUAAGUAUUCAUAGUCCUGCUCUCACACAAACACCUUCCAUGGUGAGCCUGUUUAUGCAACUGAGUGUGCCAUACAAUUGUUUUUAUUACCUUCUUAUAAAACAGCCUGUAUAAAACACUUUCUUUUUGAUUGUUUCUUUGUGUAUUGUUGAGCGUGUUUGCAUUCUAAAGGGCUUUGCCUCAUUAAAGCAAUUACUGUAAA